UGUGAAUCCAGAUGGUUCAAGACUGCAGGCCCACUUCCCAUGGCAGGACUUUUCAUUUCAGAUGUGGAGAAAGUGGCCCAAAAUCAUCAAAAUGGAUUAUACAU
rnacentral:pre_miRNA from 1 species